AGUGAACGCUGGCGGUAGGCCUAACACAUGCAAGUCGAACGGCAGCACAGUAAGAGCUUGCUCUUACGGGUGGCGAGUGGCGGACGGGUGAGGAAUACAUCGGAAUCUACUUUUUCGUGGGGGAUAACGUAGGGAAACUUACGCUAAUACCGCAUACGACCUACGGGUGAAAGCAGGGGAUCUUCGGACCUUGCGCGAUUGAAUGAGCCGAUGUCGGAUUAGCUAGUUGGCGGGGUAAAGGCCCACCAAGGCGACGAUCCGUAGCUGGUCUGAGAGGAUGAUCAGCCAAACUGGAACUGAGACAGGGUCCAGACUCCUACGGGAGGCCGCAGUGGGGAAUAUUGGACAAUGGGCGCAAGCCUGAUCCAGCCAUACCGCGGGGGGGAAGAAGGCCUUCGGGUUGUAAAGCCCUUUUGUGGGGAAAAAAAAGCAGCAGGUUAAUACCCCGCUGUUCUGACGGUACCCAAAAAAUAAGCACCGGCUAACUUCGU
rnacentral:rRNA from 1 species